GGGUUGUGAGGUUAAGCGACAAGCGUACACGGUGGAUGCCCUGGCAGUCAGAGGCGAUGAAGGACGUGCUAAUCUGCGAAAAGCGCCGGUAAGGUGAUAUGAACCGUUAUAACCGGCGAUGUCCGAAUGGGGAAACCCGGUGCACUUCGGUGCAUCAUCGUUAGCUGAAUACAUAGGCUAACGAGGCGUAACCGGGGGAACUGAAACAUCUAAGUACCCCGAGGAAAAGAAAUCAACCGAGAUUCCCCCAGUAGCGGCGAGCGAACGGGGAACAGCCCAGAGCCUGAAUCAGCUUGUGUGUCAGUGGAACGGUCUGGAAAGGCCGGCGAUACAGGGUGACAGCCCCGUACACGAAGGCACACAGGCUGUGAGCUCGAUGAGUAGGGCGGGACACGUGAUAUCCUGUCUGAAGAUGGGGGGACCAUCCUCCAAGGCUAAAUACUCCUGACUGACCGAUAGUGAACCAGUACCGUGAGGGAAAGGCGAAAAGAACCCCGGCGAGGGGAGUGAAACAGAACCUGAAACCGUGUACGUACAAGCAGUGGGAGCCUUCGUAAGAGGGUGACUGCGUACCUUUUGUAUAAUGGGUCAGCGACUUAUAUUCUGUAGCAAGGUUAACCGUAUAGGGGAGCCGAAGGGAAACCGAGUCUUAACCGGGCGUUAAGUUGCAGGGUAUAGACCCGAAAACCCCGGUGAUCUAGCCAUGGGCAGGUUGAAGGUUGGGUAACACUAACUGGAGGACCGAACCGACUAAUGUUGAAAAAUUAGCGGAUGACCUGUGGCUGGGGGUGAAAGGCCAAUCAAACCGGGAGAUAGCUGGUUCUCCCCGAAAGCUAUUUAGGUAGCGCCUCGUGAAUUCAUCUCCGGGGGUAGAGCACUGUUUCGGCUAGGGGGCCAUCCCGGCUUACCAACCCGAUGCAAACUGCGAAUACCGGAGAAUGUUAUCACGGGAGACACACGGCGGGUGCUAACGUCCGUCGUGAAGAGGGAAACAACCCAGACCGCCAGCUAAGGUCCCAAAGUCAUGGUUAAGUGGGAAACGAUGUGGGAAGGCCCAGACAGCCAGGAUGUUGGCUUAGAAGCAGCCAUCAUUUAAAGAAAGCGUAAUAGCUCACUGGUCGAGUCGGCCUGCGCGGAAGAUGUAACGGGGCUAAACCAUGCACCGAAGCUGCGGCAGCGACACUAUGUGUUGUUGGGUAGGGGAGCGUUCUGUAAGCCUGUGAAGGUGUGCUGUGAGGCAUGCUGGAGGUAUCAGAAGUGCGAAUGCUGACAUAAGUAACGAUAAAGCGGGUGAAAAGCCCGCUCGCCGGAAGACCAAGGGUUCCUGUCCAACGUUAAUCGGGGCAGGGUGAGUCGACCCCUAAGGCGAGGCCGAAAGGCGUAGUCGAUGGGAAACAGGUUAAUAUUCCUGUACUUGGUGUUACUGCGAAGGGGGGACGGAGAAGGCUAUGUCGGCCGGGCGACGGUUGUCCCGGUUUAAGCGUGUAGGCUGACUUUCCAGGCAAAUCCGGAAGGUUAAGGCUGAGGCGUGAUGACGAGGCACCACGGUGCUGAAGUGACAAAUGCCCUGCUUCCAGGAAAAGCCUCUAAGCAUCAGGUAACAUCAAAUCGUACCCCAAACCGACACAGGUGGUCAGGUAGAGAAUACCA
rnacentral:rRNA from 1 species